GAUGAACGCUGGCGGCGUGCCUAAUACAUGCAAGUCGAGCGAACGGACGAGAAGCUUGCUUCUCUGAUGUUAGCGGCGGACGGGUGAGUAACACGUGGAUAACCUACCUAUCAGACUGGGAUAACUUCGGGAAACCGGAGCUAAUACCGGAUAAUCUUUUGAACCGCAUGGUUCAAAAGUGAAAGACGGUCUUGCUGUCACUUAUAGAUGGAUCCGCGCUGCAUUAGCUAGUGGGUAAUGUCACGGCUUACCAAGGCAACGAUGCCUAGCCGACCGGAGAGGGUGAUCGGCCACAUUGGAGCUGAAACACGGUCCAGACUCCUACGGGAGGCAGCAGUAGGGAACCUUCCGCAAUGGGCGAAAGCCUGGCGGAGCAACGCCGCGUGAGUGAUGAAGGUCUUCGGUUCGUAAAACUCUGUUAUUAGGGAAGAACAGAUGUGUAAGUAACUGUGCACAUCUUGACGGUACCUAAUCAGAAAGCAACGGCUAACUACGUG
rnacentral:rRNA from 1 species